rnacentral:tRNA from 1 species
UUAACAGAAAUGAAGAAUCAUUUGUGGUUUCGACCCAUAAUUAUUGGUGUUCACUCACCCUGUUACA